UACGGAGGGUGCAAGCGUUAAUCGGAAUUACUGGGCGUAAAGCGCACGUAGGUGGUUUGUUAAGCUAGAUGUGAAAGCCCCGGGCUCAACCUGGGAAUUGCAUUUAGAACUGGCAAGCUAGAGUAGGGUAGAGGGUCGUGGAAUUCCCAGUGUAGAGGUGAAAUUCGUAGAUAUUGGGAAGAACACCGGUGGCGAAGGCGGCGACCUGGUCCUUUACUGACGCUGAGGCGCGAAAGCGUGGGGAGCAAACAGG
rnacentral:rRNA from 1 species